rnacentral:rRNA from 1 species
AUUGAACGCUGGCGGCAGGCUUAACACAUGCAAGUCGAGCGGAGAUGAGGUGCUUGCACCUUAUCUUAGCGGCGGACGGGUGAGUAAUGCUUAGGAAUCUGCCUAUUAGUGGGGGACAACAUUCCGAAAGGAAUGCUAAUACCGCAUACGUCCUACGGGAGAAAGCAGGGGAUCUUCGGACCUUGCGCUAAUAGAUGAGCCUAAGUCGGAUUAGCUAGCUGGUGGGGUAAAGGCCUACCAAGGCGACGAUCUGUAGCGGGUCUGAGAGGAUGCUGCGCCACACGGGGACGGAGGAACGGCCCAGAAUCCUGCGGGAGGCAGCAGUGGGGAAUAUUGGACAAUGGGGGAAACCCUGAUCCAGCCAUGCCGCGUGUGUGAAGAAGGCCUUAUGGUUGUAAAGCACUUUAAGCGAGGAGGAGGCUACUGAGACUAAUACUCUUGGAUAGUGGACGUUACUCGCAGAAUAAGCACCGGCUAACUCUGUGCCAGCCGCCGCGGUAA